UACGUAGGGACCGAGCGUUGUCCGGAAUCAUUGGGCGUAAAGAGCGUGUAGGCGGCCUGGUAGGUCUUGUGUGAAAUCCCGCGGCUCAACCGCGGAUCCGCACAGGAAACCCCCAGGCUCGAGUCCGGAAGAGGAGAGUGGAAUUCCUGGUGUAGCGGUGAAAUGCGCAGAUAUCAGGAAGAACACCCGUAGCGAAGGCGGCUCUCUGGGACGGUACUGACGCUGAGACGCGAAAGCGUGGGGAGCAAACAGGAUUAGAUACCCUGGUAGUCCACGCCGUAAACGAUGGAUGCUAGGUGUGGGAGGUGUCGACUCCUCCCGUGCCGAAGCUAACGCAUUAAGCAUCCCGCCUGGGGAGUACGGCCGCAAGGCUAAA
rnacentral:rRNA from 1 species